UACGGAGGGGGCUAGCGUUGUUCGGAAUUACUGGGCGUAAAGCGCACGUAGGCGGACUGUUAAGUCGAAUGUGAAAACCCGGGGCUCAACCCCGGGCCUGCAUUCGAUACGGGCAGACUAGAGUUCGGUAGGGGAGUCUGGAAUUCCUGGUGUAGCGGUGAAAUGCGCAGAUAUCAGGAAGAACACCAAUGGCGAAGGCAGCUCUCUGGGACGGUACUGACGCUGAGACGCGAAAGCGUGGGGAGCGAACAGG
rnacentral:rRNA from 1 species